rnacentral:lncRNA from 1 species
CUCACAGCCAAUAAUCCGGAGGAUUACAGAAAAGCGACUCUUGGAGAUGAGGGCAGAGCUCUGGAAAUCCUUCAUACUAUAGUUGCUAUUUUGUAUGAUGACUUUCAUAUUAUCUUAAUAAACUGUAUCUUUUGUCAUCAGAUAAUAUCCCUCUUUAUCUCAUUUAAGAUUCGAUUAUAUUCCAAUCUUAAAUUCAAUCUUAUCUGAAAGUAGUGCUGCAUUUCUUAAAUUUAUCAGCUGUUGCCUGCUAGUUCUUGGCAUGCCCCUUCAUUUUCAAUAUUGUAAGAGCAUUUAACUGUUAAUUUUAAAGCUAGUUUGACAGAAUUUAGUCCAUUUGUCUUUAGAGUAAUAACCACUAUAUCUGAUUUUAUUUUUUAUCUUACACUAUUUAUUUCACAUUAUUUCUUUUUUUCCUUUUAUUUUGCUGGUUUAAUCAGUUUCCUUCUUAUUUCCUGCUUUCCCUUUUGUGAGUUUGAGAGCUCAACUUCCCUAGCCCUCACAAUCAAAAUCAUGCCUUCACACUGUUAUAUGAAAACAAGAUCCUCUUUUUCCAACUUUCCCCCAUUCCCAACAGUGAGAUGAGCGAUUGCAUGGUUCUUUCUCCCCACCCUCCCUCCCACACCACCGCGGGGUUCCCCACAACAGUUCUUCCCUAAAUGAGAGGCUUGGGAAAUUUUUCUUUUUCUUCUCUCACUUUUCCCUUUUUACUCUUCUUUGGUUUUACUCUAGUACAUUUAGAUCCUGACCAGAAUGACAAUUUCUCUUACAUUUCUAUUUUUCUAUGAUGUUUCCAGUUCAAGGAUCUUUACAUAAUUUAUUUUUUCCAAGAAAGAACUUUGACAUGAUGGACAAAGAUUCUCCCUAUGACCAGAUGUUGGUCAGGCUACUCUAAGCUCUCUGCUCAACCAGCCUGACCUUUGGUCUUUCAUCGUCCAGCUUAGCAAGAAUCCUGCCAAUUUGGUUUUAACCCAAAUCUCCCACCCUCAAUAUCUGAUCACUCUCAAUAUCUAAUCACCUUUCUCAUCCCUCUCACCACCCCGCAGGUGAUGUCUGACAACACUGGCCUGGCAUCACCAGGAAACCUGGUGAGUCAGUUUAGCAAGAAUUACUCUCCCAUUUUGUAGUUUUCCACUCAGACACCCCACCCCAGCCACUCUGCUCCUUGGCUACGAAUCCACACUUCUCCUUGUUGUAUUUGAAGUUGAGCUCAGUCUCUUUCCCCAACUGCAAAGCUCCAUUCCAGUAAUUCCUAUACCUAUUGCCAUAGUCCUGAAUAAAGUCUGCCACACGAUCUUAACAAGAGUAUUUUUAUCUUUUGACAUGAUACAAGAUGGUUUUACAUUAAAUAAUUGUAGUUUAGAGAAGAAUCACAUAAUUUUAGGGCAGACCUUUUUUUUUUUUUUUUUUUUGAGAUGGAGUCUCACUCUGUCCCCAGGCUGGAGUGCAGUGGCGCGAUCUCGGCUCACUGCAACCUCCGCCUCCCAGGUACAAGCGAUUCUCCUGCCUCAGCCUCCCAAGUAGUUGGGACUACAGGCAUGCACCACCACACCCAGCUAAUUUUUUUUGUGUAUUUUUAGUAGAGACGGGAUUUCACCAUUUUGGCCAGGACGGUCUCGAUCUCUUGACCUUGUGAUCUGCCCACCUCGGCCUCCCAAAGUGUCAGGAUUACAGGCAUGAGCCACUGCGCCCGGCCAGACUUCUCUUUAAAACCCUGAAUAAAAACCUUGAGCAAUUGUUUAAUUUGGAGCUGAUGAAACAGAGAACUUUCUUACAUCUUUAAUAAAUGACUUAAUUAGAAAAUGAUCACCAUAUAUACUUUGUUUAAGCUGGAAAAUCUGAAAGAAAGGCAUUCCUUUGCCCACUCUGAAGUGUACCUGGCAAUCACACCACAAUCCAGGAAGAAACUCGUGAUUCUGUACUCCCAGAUUUUAGCCAGCACUACUAUUUAUUGUUUAUCAGUUAACCAAUAUUCAGUAGAACUCAACUCUUAACUGUGGUGACAUGUAGAUACAGUUUCCUGUCUAUUACCUUGACAUGGCAACAUGGUCAAAACCCUUCACUUUUGCUUCUCUUAGCUGAAUAGCUCUAAUCAAAAAUGUAUGGUGACCUGUCUGCCUCCCUUUCUGGGCUUUCUCAACUUCGGGGUCCUGCACCCAGCCCCCUUCCAAUUCUCUAUUCUGUUCCAUCAAAGCCUGCUCCCGAGUAAAUUCACGUUUGCACAAAUUCCUGGUCAUGGCUUUUGAUAACACUUUCAGGGGCAUAUGUAUUUUGGCAGAAGAGUCAAAAGAAUGGAUCUCUAAUACAGAAUUUGAAAUACUGGCACUUGACGUUGUGGGAAAAAAAAUAUUUGAGAUAGGGUUGUCUUCCCAGCCCACUGAAGUCAUGCCAAAUAGACAGAUGUCUAUCCUUACAAAAGGGUGCCACUUGGUUGAACUAAAGGAAAAAACGACUAGAUAAGUGGACAGUCUUCUACACUGUGCAAUACGGUAGACACUAGCCACAUGUGACCAUUGAGAUUCAAAUCAGGCCAGGCACGGUGGCUCAUGCCUGUAAUCCCAGCACUUUGGGAGGCCGAGGCGGGUGGAUCACAAGGUCAGGAAUUCGAGACCAGCCUGACCAACAUGAUGAAACCCCGUCUCUACUAAAACUACAAAAAUUAGCCAGGCGUGGUGGUACAUGCCUGUAAUCCCAGCUACUCAGGAAGCUGAGGCAGGAGAAUCGUGUGAACCUGGGAGGCGGAGGUUGCAGUGAGCCGAGAUUGCGCCACUGCACUCCAGCCUGGGCGACAGAGUGAUACUCAUCUCAAAAGUGUUUAAAUACAUGUGCACAUGUACACACACAAAGCAAAACAGAAAGAAUACAAUAAUACCAAAGUAUCUAAAAACAAAUCUUAAUUUAUGAUGGAUCAUCUUUACUGAAUUAUAAAGUAUUUUAGGUGUCUGCAUUCUUUAAAGCUACCUCUUGGAUAAAAUUCAAAGCUAUAUAGAAAAUUCAAAAUCUAAAAAGCUUAUAUUUAAAUAGGUUUACUCUGAAUUGAUCUUGUGAUAAUCAAUCUGAAUGGUCUUCAUUCACUAAGACUACUCAGAAAUGGCAAAAUCAUAUUGAGGUGCUCAGAAACAGCAUCUUAAUUAUGAUGGAUUUUGGACCAUUUUUUUCUAAGGCAUUGUUAGGGUGCAUAAUAAUAAAUUAGGCUGGAUAUGAGCAUUAUUUUAUUAGAAUUGCUCAUAUAUUAGCCUAUGUACCUAUUAACAUGUGAGUGUAGUGAGGGUGGGUAGGUAUAGUGUUUCAUUCAGAGGCUUUCUCAGUGCUUAAUAAACUGUUCAUAGCAGAUGCUCACCAAGUUUUUUUUUUUUUUUUUUUUUUGAGACAGAGUCUCGCUCUGUCAUCCAGGCUGGAGUGCAGGAUCUCUGCUCACUGCAAGCUCCGCCUCCUGGGUUCACGCCAUUCUCCUGCCUCAGCCUCCCGAGUAGCUGGGACUACAGGCG